rnacentral:rRNA from 1 species
GACGAACGCUGGCGGCGUGCUUAACACAUGCAAGUCGAGCGGAGCGGCGAACGGGUGAGUAACGCGCGAGUAACUGCCCCCCUCUCUGGGUUAACAGUUGGAAACGGUUGCUAAUACCGGCUAGUGGGGGAUGACUCGCGGCCUAUCAGCUGGUUGGGGGGGUAGUGGCCUACAAAGGCGCCGACGGGUAGCCGGCCUGAUAGGGCGACCGGCCACAUUGGGCUGAGAUACGGCCCAAACUCCUACGGGAGGCAGCAGUGGUGAAUAUUGCACAAGGGGGGAAACCCUGAUGCAGCAACGUCGCGUGCGGGAUGACGGCCUUCGGGUUGUAAACCGCUUUCAGCCAUGACGCGGUAAUGGCAGAAGAAGCACCGGCUAACUUCGUGCCAGCAGCCGCGGUAAUUC